GUGCUCACUUUGACAACAUAUAUACUAAAACUGGAACCAUACAGAUAUUAGCAUCCUGUACGAAGAUGGCGUGCAAAUGUGUGAAGCAUUUCAUUAAAAA
rnacentral:snRNA from 1 species